UGAGGUGGUGCUUUUUAGCAGGAACCCCUCUCGCUUUGCUAAUAGUUUCUUGUUGGUGUUUGUUUUCCUUUUUGCCCAAUAGAACCCUGCUCUACUCACCCUUCAGUGUGCCCAUGUGACUAAAUGUUCCUGGUCAUGUGAAAAGGACCCAAGUAUUAGUUGAACUAUUUUGGCACCCAAACAAGGGGCUUGAGAAAUGAAUGCAAUUGGAGCAACUGGUUGUUUUAUCAGGCUUUGAUUGGAAAUGUGUGCUUCUCUUUAAGGAGUCAAGCUCAAUCUGCAGAGCUGAUGAGAACCCCUUGGGAAAACUGGCCUCAAAUGUUUGUCUACACAGUCCACAUACAGGAUUCUUAACCUGCAGAAACACUUUCUGAAAAUGUCAGAACUCUUAAAAACAUGGAUGAGGAAAGGACUAAGGACUGCUUUAUGCUUGUCUUAUGAAUUUUAAAAGAUGUAAUUUAAAGAUUGGAACUCCCACAACUUUGACAGACUAACUCCUCAGAAAACAUUAUUCUUUGACAUCAAUAUGUUUUGCACAAAAUUGAAUGGCAAGUGAAAGGCAUCAAACACAUAUUUAACUAUCAGGCUAUUUUGGAGAUUGGAAAAAGAAGACCUGAUUCAUCAUGUGCAAUACCUCACACAUCUGUCAUUUC